UACGGGGGGGGCAAGCGUUGUUCGGAAUUACUGGGCGUAAAGGGCUCGUAGGUGGCCAACUAAGUCGGACGUGAAAUCCCUCAGCUUAACUGGGGAACUGCGUCCGAUACUGGAUGGCUUGAGUUUGGGAGAGGGAUGCGGAAUUCCAGGUGUAGCGGUGAAAUGCGUAGAUAUCUGGAGGAACACCGGUGGUGUAAACGGCUUUCUGGACCAUAACUGACGCUGAGGCACGAAAGCGUGGGGAUCAAACAGG
rnacentral:rRNA from 1 species